rnacentral:misc_RNA from 1 species
CAUCCGCACCUAAAUGCGCAGGUACUCAUUCUUGGGCAGGCACGCACACAUCGGUAGACUUGCCUUUAAAGACGCAUCUGUGGGCUACAGAGCAAUCCACUUGCCGGGGCGACGCCGAACUCAUCAUCAGUUGUUCUUCUAGCCGUGUACUCCUAUUGCUGCUGCUGGUGCGGUAGCGGUGCUGUUGAGAAGGCAAAGGUGGUGCAAUCUCUCCCGUUCUCCCCUCUCACCACGAAAACACAGCGUGAAGCCCCAGCGACAACCUGGCGCUUAAUUCUGCCACGGAGGCCAUGCAGACAUCGCAGUCCCUUCACACAGCGCCAGAGGAGGAGGAGGUGGAGGCCCCGCCGCAGCUGCCACUGUCGGAUGGGCGCUGCUACGCCUGCCGCCGGUGCCGUCGCAUCUUGUCAGAGGUGCAGUGGUACGCGACGGGUUGCGUGGUGUGCAGCGCAACGAUGGGCGUGCCGGACCGCGACAGCCUCCUUGACUUUGCAACCCCACACUUUCACAACUUCAUCGGCCUCAUUGCCCCAGGGCAGUCGUGGGUCGCGCGUCUAAUCAUGAAGAGUCGCGAGCCUACGAACGGCAUAUUCGCCGAGACGCUGUCUGACGAUGAGCCGGAGGAUGAGGAGGAUGAUAUGGAGCCCUACGUGAGGGACGCGGACGAGGAGGAAGGGCCAGCCUUGCUGGAUGGAGAGGACGGCGCUGCCGAGCCCGUGCAUGAGCUGGCUGCAGAAGCUCCAGAGUAAAACGGGGGCCCCUCUCUCCCCUGCAAGAAAACAAGUGUGCUGACCCUCGUUGCAGCUCGCCGUCGCGCCGCUUCUGGCUUGUUGCGCAAAGACAACCAUCCAUGCAGCUGAGCAUCCUGUGUGCCCAGCCUGGGCAAUUUCUGUGCCACUUUAUCGGGAAAGAUGCCGAGACCCGCUGCGUACAGAGAUGGCUUGCGUUGUGCCCCCCCCCCUUCCCCGCCUACCACUCCUCUUUGUGUGCUGCCCCGUGGUGUGAGGACCGUGGUGCGCAGGUGGCGUACGCGUCUGCGUUUCAGCGGUUUUGUUGGAGCACCUCUAUGCAGCUGCGUUUGUGUCUCCGCUACCCACCGGUGCGUUGGGCUUCUCCCGUUUGCUCCGUUGAAUACGUGCGUGGCUACGCGCUUCUUGUUUGCCUAACACGCUCCCUGG